AAAAAAGAAGAUAAAACUGUCCCUCUGGGAUGAUUGUUUAGUCGAUGCCACAUUCUGUUACGCACAACCGCCGUGCAUCGUGUCCACAAACAAACUAAAGCACUCCACACCAAAAUAUACGGUGCGAUUUUCUCCGACGCGUUGCUUGAAGCAACUACUCCAUCUCCAUGGCGGUUCUUCUGGAUUUUCCAGAGUUUCAUUCAAAAGGAGGAGGUAAAUACAGUAGAUCUUUCUUCUUCUUGGAGUAAAACACACAAUUUCCAUUUUAUUUUUAUGAUUUGAUUGAUGCCGGACGUCGAAAAAGGCAGUUAAUGUUGGAUUUAUAUUAAAGAAAAAAAAGUUUGGAUUAGGAAAUGGAGCUAUAAAUUCGUUCUGACAGAAACCAGUCCUGGUUUCACGAAGGAGUCAGAGGAACUCCCAUCUCCCAACUCACUCGCCCGUCCAACCCACUCCCCGCUCGCGCACGCAUCCUCCUGCGCUCCCAUGGCGUCCCGCGACCUCGCCGAGAGCCUGCUCCCCGGCGGGGGCGGGGGCGGGGGCGCCUCCUCCUCGCACGACGAGUACGAGGAGCGCGCGUACGACUCGGACGACAAAGUCUCCAUCUCCAUCUCCGACUCGGAGCCCGACGACGUCGGCGAGCCCGGCGCCGCGCGCCCUCGCCCGACCUUCUCCUGGCGGAAGCUCUGGCGCUUCACGGGACCCGGCUUCCUCAUGUGCAUCGGCUUCCUCGACCCGGGCAACCUCGAGGGGGACCUGCAGGCGGGCGCCGCCGCCGGGUACCAGCUCCUCUGGCUGCUGCUCUGGGCCACGGUCAUGGGCGCGCUCGUUCAGCUGCUCUCCGCGCGCCUCGGGGUCGUCACCGGGAAGCACCUCGCCGAGCUCUGCCGCGAGGAGUACCCGCCCUGGGCCACGCGCGCGCUCUGGGUCAUGACGGAGCUCGCGCUCGUCGGCGCCGACAUACAGGAGGUCAUCGGCAGCGCGAUUGCCAUCAAGAUCCUCUCCGGGGGCAUCGUGCCGCUCUGGGGCGGCGUCGUCAUCACCGCCUUCGACUGCUUCAUCUUUCUAUUCCUGGAGAACUAUGGUGUGAGAAAAUUGGAAGCGUUUUUCGGCGUCUUGAUUGCAACCAUGGCUAUAUCAUUUGCGAUCAUGUUUGGUGAAACGAAGCCUAGUGGAAAGGAGCUUCUGAUCGGUUUGGUGGUUCCAAAGCUAAGCUCAAAGACCAUCAAACAGGCGGUUGGAAUUGUGGGCUGCAUCAUCAUGCCCCAUAAUGUUUUCUUGCACUCAGCGCUAGUGCAGUCCAGGAAGAUUGACACAAAAAAGAAAUCCCGUGUUCAAGAAGCAGUGUACUAUUACAACAUUGAGUCGAUUCUUGCUCUCAUCGUCUCUUUCUUUAUUAACAUCUGCGUUACAACGGUAUUCGCAAAAGGAUUUUAUGGAUCCGACAAAGCUGAUAACAUAGGUCUUGAGAAUGCUGGCCAGUACUUACAGGAGAAAUAUGGAACUGCCCUGUUUCCUGUCCUCUAUAUCUGGGCUAUCGGGUUGUUAGCGUCUGGACAGAGCAGCACGAUCACUGGCACAUAUGCAGGCCAAUUUGUCAUGGGAGGUUUCCUUAAUCUUCGAUUGAAGAAGUGGUUACGAGCAGUGAUUACUCGAAGCUUUGCCAUUAUUCCGACUAUGAUUGUGGCUUUAUUUUUUGAUACUGAAGAUCCUACCAUGGACGUUCUGAAUGAGUCGCUCAAUGUUCUUCAGUCCAUUCAGAUUCCAUUUGCACUAAUUCCUCUCAUCACCCUUGUUUCGAGUGAGCAGCUCAUGGGGUCAUUCGUGGUUGGUCCUAUCACCAAAGUGAUAAGUUGGAUCGUCACAAUCUUUCUGAUGCUCAUCAACGGAUACCUCAUCCUGUCCUUCUACACCAACGAAGUGCGGGGCGCAGUCGUUCGUUCAAGCUUGUGCGUCGUGCUGGCUGUUUACCUCGCGUUCAUCAUCUACCUGAUCCUGAGGAACACCACGCUGUAUUCCCGCCUUCGCUCAUCAGUCUCAAAGAGCUCAUGAGAAAGAGUGUUAGUCAUUUCAUCUCCAUGAUGAAGAAGAUGAACGGGAAUGGAUAGAUAAUAUUGGGAGAAAGCUGCUCCCCAGUGUACAACCUGUACGGCUGCCUAUUUGUAUUAGCUCCGGGGGAGAGGUCUAUAUUGUAUAUCAGUUGCUGUUGUAUAAUUGUAUUUGUGGAUUAGCAGGCUUCCCCUUUAGGAUUGGGCUAAACCAACACCAACACCAGCAUACUUGAGGUGGUAAAUGGUAGGCUAGUGCAUGAAGUUUUACAUGGUAUUACCGAAAAAGGCUUUCGCCCCGCUUUAUAUAUAAAGCACCAAACCACAAGCAUCCAG
rnacentral:rRNA from 1 species